GCACUUUGGCAGCACAUAUACUAAAAUUGGAACGAUACAGAGAAGAUUAGAACGGCCCCUGUGCAAGGAUGACACGCAAAAUCGUGAAGCAUUUCAUAUUUUU
rnacentral:snRNA from 1 species